CUAUACAGGGUGGCCCAUUUAGAUCGGUCAGUAUCGGAAAAUCUGAAACUAUAAGAUAUACACCGAUCUCUUCUUAGGAACCAUGUCAUCGAUUUUAGUAACAAGAAAAACUGCAUUCAUACAUUUAAAUAAAAAUGUACUCAGCUCGGGAAUCGAACCCCGAACGUUUUGAAAAAUCAAACUAAGACUAUUUCUAUUUAGAUAUCGAUUGUGUAGGUCUUAAGCAGUAAAUGUUAUACUAUGAAACAUGAUAUCUGAAAUGAAUAAAAUGCAUUGUUUUCAUAUCCUUUAAUUUAUUUUAGUAAGUUUUCGAAAAGACCACCAUUUUUUUCAAUACAUUUUACAUACAUUUUUUUUUAAUGUAUGAAUGCAGUUUUUCUUGUUACUAAAAUCGAUGACAUGGUUCCUAAGAAGAGAUCGGUGUAUGUCUUAUAGUUUUAGAUUUUCCCAUACUGACCGAUCUAAAUGGGCCACCCUGUAUAGUACUAAAAUACGAUGCUCCGAAUCGAUCAAAGAACGAAGGAGAAAAUAAUUGAAUUGAAAUUUGAAACCAGUAAACAUCAAAUGGCAUUCCGCACAGGAGUAAUCUAAGGAACGCCCACUGCGGGUUCAAACCUACAACGUCCUAUUAGAAAAUCGUACAUACGCUGCAUGUGACAUAUCUUCAAAAAUUAUAUAAACUAAUGCGAAAUUUACAUAAAACCAGAAGACACAAAUUAAUAAUA